AGAAACCUAAUUUUUCCUCAUUCUUCGCAUUUGGUUGCCCCCACCUUGUGCCUCAGUUUCUCACCGUUACUACUCCGACAUUCUUCACCACCUCGCCGUCACUUCUCCAACAUUAUUCACCGCCGAUGUGUUCUUUCUCCGGUUAUCUUCUCUUAUUUUGUUAACAAUUUGUUCUUCUUCUCCAUUUCAGCUCUAACAUUUUUUGGUGUUCUUCAUUUUAGCUCUAGCCUUUAGUGCCGAAGUUCCACCAAGUCCAACUCCACCUCCUGCUCCACCAUGUUCAACUUCUAGUGCCUUCACCAUCGCUGCUCCAACGUGAUUCAUCCGAGGUAAACUUUUAAAAUUUAAGAGUUUUUGAUUAAUUUUGUGUGUGAUUAUUGUUGUUUAUGUGAAUGUAUUUUAUUGUGGUUGAGUUUAUCUAAAUGAUUUUAGUGCAAACAUAAUUCUGUUUUGAAGUUAAAAAAAUCAAAAAAUAAUGUAAUGGAACACCUUGAAAGCUUAUGUGCGUGAAAGUGGAGAAGAAGAACACUGUUGUGUGUAGAGAAUUGAUCUACAAAACGUUCAUUUUAAUUCUACUAAAACUAGUUUAGUAAGAUUUACAAUUUUAAUUUGAUUGAAACUAAUUUAAUAGGAUUUGAAGGUUAAAGUUUUCUUAUAUGGAAAUGAGUAUAAAAGAAAGGUAAUUAAUAAAAGAAGGAAAGGUAAUUAAUAAAAGAAGUGAUAUUUUUAGAAAAAAACUUAUCCCUGUUUAAGAAUAAUUUAGGAAAUUGUAUUUUUAAUUUUUUUCAUUAAGUAUCUUGUAAUAAUUAAGUACGAUGUUUUUUUACUUUUUUUUUUCAUUGAUUAUGUAAUAAUUAAUGGUUAUGUUGUAAUAAUUAAGUACAUUAUAAAUUUAGAAGUUUUUUUUUCCUACUGGUUAUGUUAUAAUAAUUAAAUACAUUUAGAAGUUUUUCAUUUAGCGAUUGUGUUUAAAAAAAAUAUAUUGGUGCUGCAGAGAGUAAAGUUUUCCAUUUUUCCAUUGGUUAUUUGAAAAAAAAAAUUAAAAGGUGACGGUGUACAAAACAAAUACGUGCUGCAGAGAGUAAGUCAUGGGCAGCAGAUUGGGCCAAAUUUUUCAAGAAAAUGUUACAAAUAGUGAUGUUGGGGCUGUAUAAAUUAAAUAGGGGGAUUGUUUCUUCCUGCACUUUCAUAUCUUCUUUUGCCACCUGCAUACACAAUAUGAAAAUACAUUUUUAUCCUUUUUUGUCACCUCCAUAAACUAGUUUCUGAAUUAUAUAAUCCGAAACACAUUUGAAAAAAGACUUCUGGAUUACAUAAUCCUGAAGCUAAAUAAGACUUCCGGAUUAUGUAAUAUGGAAAGUAAUAAUGCAUCUGAAAAAAAACUUCCAGAUUAUAUAAUCCGGAAGCUAAUUAUAAAUUUGAAAAAUGACUUACGGAUUACAUAAUCCAGAAUAUUAUAGAGGGGUAUUUUUGGAAAUUUAAAAAUUUAUGGAGGUGAGAGAAGAAGAUAUGGAGGUGCAGGAAGAAACACUCAAAUAUGGGAUGCAUAGAGUAAAAGUAAUAGGGAGCAGAAUGUGCCUAAUAUGUUGCAAAUAGUGAACUGGUGGGUGUAGAAAACAAAUAGGUGCUGCAUAGAGUAAUAGUCUUGGACAGUAGAAUAGGCCCAUGUUUUUAAAAAAAAAAGUUACAGCGGGCGUGUAUAAAUUAAAUAGGGGCUGCAUAGAAUAAAAGUGAUGAGCAGCAUAAUGGGCCCAUGUUUUUCACAUUAAUAUGUUGCAAGUAGUGAUGUGGGGGUGUAUAAAAUAAAUAGGGGCUCCAUAGAGUAAAAGUGAAGGGCGGCAGAAUGGACCCAUAUUUUUCAUUAAUAUGUUGCAAAUAGUGAACUGGUGGGUGUAGAAAACAUAUAGGGGAUGCAUAGAGUAAAAGUCUUGGAUAGCAGAAUGGGCCCAUGUUUUUCAAUAAAAUGUUAGAAAUAGUGAUGUGGGGUUGUAUAAAAUAAAUAGGGGUUGAAUAGAGUAAAAGUGAAGGGCAGCAGAGUGGGCCCACUUUUUCCAUUAUUAUGUUGCAAGUAGUCAACUAGUGGGUGUAGAAAACAAAUUGACCCAAGUUUUAAAUAACUAAAAUAUUUUAAAAAUUGUGAUAGAUAAAAAAUGAAUUAAGAUAGUAAAUUUAUUUAAUUUUUAUAUGUACGUGUUAAAUGAAAUUACAAUCUAUGAAUUACAAUGUAUGAAUUACGGUGUUUAUAUGUUCACGUUAAAUGAAAUCACGUUGUAUGUAUUACGAUGUGUGAGUUAUGAUGUUUAUAUAUAAGCCUUAAAUGAAAUUACGAUGUUUAUGCAUACGCAUUAACUAAAAUUUCGAUGUAUGAAUUAUUGUAUUAUAUUUAGCUUGAAUCUUAUUGUAUCCUAUUCGUCUAGGAUUUACAAAUACAAAUUUCUUACACUAUCACAAUACUAAUUUCGAUGUAUGAAUUAUUGUAUUAUAUUUAGCUGAAAUAUUAUUGUAUCCUAUUUGUCUAAGACUUACAAAUACAAAAUUCUUACACUACCACGAUAAUUAAUUUCGAUGUAUGAAUUAUUGUAUUAUAUUUAGCUUGAACAUUAUUGUAUCCUAUUCGUCUAGGAUUUACAAAUACAAAAUUCUUACACUAACACGAUCAUUAAUUACAUGAAUUGGUAUGUUUUAAAUAUUUACAUACUAAGUUUAAACAAUAAAGUUCACAUGUGACAUAUACAAUGCAUUGGACACUGAUAUUCACAUGAUUCAUGUAUUAGAUCGUCUGUAGGGUGUAAGUAUACUAUUAAGUGUUGAUAAUUUCAUCAUCAACAUGCAUAACAAUGGAUCGAAUUGGAUGUAUGAAAUGUUUGAUUCUUCAAAAAGAUUGAGACAACCCUUCAUAAAUGGCGUUCAUGAUUUUGUUUCUAAGGCAAUGAAUCAAGUUUCAUACAUACCAGAUGAAAGGGUAAGGUGUAAUGUUGUUGUGAGAAAAUUCUCAAACCUUCUCAUGUCAGGAGUCAUUUGCUUUAACCUAACUAUAGGGUAUGACAAAUGAGGUUAACUUAAGCAUUGCAUCCACCAGUUAUGAUAACAUUAAGCAUUGCAUCCACCAUUUAUGAUAACAUUAGGUGUGAUGAUGACUUUGGGUCAUUAGUCGAAGUGAUGUACAAUGCAUACAUGCAAGAAAGUGAUAUAAGAACUUGUUAUGUUAAUGUUAUCGAUGAUGUAGAAGAACAACCUAACAUUGAAGCACAAAAUUUUUAUGAUAUGUUAGCAUCUGCUCAUCAACCCAUUUAUGAUGGAGAAACUCAGUCUAAAUUGUCAAUAGCCACAAGGCUUUUGGGUGCUAGAACCAAUUGGCACACAACUGAAAAGUGUUUAGAUUAUUUCAUUGAAAUGUUACUUGAUGUAGCUCCAAUAGAGAAUUGCAUACCCAAGACUUAUUAUGAAGCAAAAAUGUUGUCUCUACUCUCGGCUUGAAGGCUGUCAAGAUUGAUUGUUGUGAGGCUAGAUGCAUGUUAUAUUACAUGGAUGACAUCGAACUAAAUGAGUGAAAAUUUUGUGGUCUUCCCAAGUACUUGCCUCCAAAGGGUCAGAACAAAACAUACAAAAGAGUGUCGAUAAAAAGAAUGUUUUAUUUGCCUAAAAUACCACGAUUACAAAGACUAUAUACGUUAAUGGAGUCAACAAACCAAAUUGUUUAUACCAGUUGUUUUUGUGAUUCAACCGAUUGUUUUUAUCAGCAGUUAAUAAAACAACUUAAAACAGAUAUAUGUGAGAUCAGGGAAAGAGAGAAUCACACAAACAAAUUUAUACUGGUUCACUCUUACACCAAGAGCUACAUCUAGUCCCCAGAAACCACUAGGUAAUCCACUAUGAAAUCAAAACCAUAUUACAAACACCACACACAAAAGUAGUGACCUUGAACCCCUCAAGAAACACACUACCUUUUGCAAACCACACCAAGAGUAUUGAUCUUGAACACCUCAAGAACACACAAUACUCCUUGGAAAACACAACUACAAAAAUAUAGUAAUCAAGGAAGAAGAGAGUAGAAUACACCUGGGUAUUACAAAACUUAAAGUUCAGAAUUACUACCCAAUCCUAUUCCACACACUUAAGAAUGAUCCAAAGUUAUUUCAAAUUUUGGAAAAACUGUUUUGAUAAACUCUUUCUCUUACUCCAAGAUUAGGAGCGUAAAACCACCUUUAUAUAGACCAACCAAGUGGUAAAAACAUUUAAUAAAGGAGCCAAGGUAGUUAGGAUAAUUUAAAACAUAUUAAAAUCACUUAACAGAAUUCUGUUAAGGUUUUCAGAAAAACAUUCGAUUGUUUUUUCGAAACAAUCGGUUGAAUUGAAUUGACAACAAAGUCAAGCUUUUCAAAACCUUUUCAAAAACUACUAAGGUAAAACAACUUGUUGUUUCGAAAUUUCAACCUGUUGAAAUUUCAACAACAUUUUAGAAAACUCAUCUUUUCAAAAGGUUAAAGAUUCAAAUGAAUUUGGAUCAUCUUAAGGAGUGAAUUAACAAGUUUCAAACAACUAGACAACACACACACACACACACUUAACAACAAGGUGUUCAAGCUUUCCUCUUGGAUUUGGAGACAUCAAAGCAUUUUGUUCAACAAUCUCCCCUUAUUUAUUGAAGACAAAUCCCUAGUUUUUGGUGAGUUCUUGUCUUAGAACAAUGAUCCAACUCUAAGAAAAGUGCCUCAAUAAUGUCCAGCUCAAGGUGAUUUCUAAGAAUGUCAAGAAUCAUUCUCUAUAUGGCUAGUGGAAUCACAUCAACCAUUGUGGUUGCCAUUCAUAAAAAGCUUUGAAUUUCAAGGAAAAUAAAGAAUAUAUCUCUUUAUGAUCUAAUUCAGAGGCACAAAGAAUGCAUAUUUGACUCAUAAUGGGUUAUGAAAGAAAAGAAACAGUUGUAAUCAUGCAUAAGAAAUCAUAACAACUUUAUUCAAAUGUGCCAGAGGUAAAAAAAUUGGGUGUUUCGUGAAAACAAUCGGUUAUUUUCCUGAGACAACAAGAAAAUGUUAUUUUUCAAAGCAAAUAAUCUUUCAAAGUGAUGGGAAAUGCAUAAUGAAAUACAUUCAUACCUUUGCAUUACCUCAAGCAUGUUUAGAAUUUCAUUUGGUCUUAUGAAGCCAAAAGCAUAAGAUGAACAUAUACAACUUACUUUACAUAGGAUGAAGAUAUACAAGUUAUUUGGAGCUUGCUUAAGUCCAUACGAGGCCUUUUUCAGAUUGUAUACAUGGUUAGGAAGUUGAUGAUCUUCAAAGCCCGGUGGUUGUUCAACAUAGACUUCCUCAUUGAUGAUUCCAUUGAGGAAAGCACUCUUAACAUCCAUUUGAAACAAUUUGAAUCCACUCAUACAAGCAAAGGCCAACAACAACCUUACAACUUCUAAUCUUGCAACUGGAGCAAAGGUUUCACCAUAAUCUAUGCCUUCUUUUUAAUUAUAACCUUUAGCCACAAGCCUUGCCUUGUUCCUUGUAAUUACUCCAGAUUCAUCCAGCUUGUUUCUGAAAACCUAUUUGCAUCCAAUGAUGUUCAUCUAGUCAGACCUUGGAAUAAGAAACCAGACAUCAUUUCUUGUGAAUUGAUGCAGCUCCUCAUGCAUGGCAACAACCCAUUUAUCAUCCUUGAAAGCUUCCUCAUUUGGCUUAGGUUCAAUUUGUGAGACAAAAGUCAUAUGCUCGCAGUAGUUAGAUACAGUACUACGUGUAGAAACACCCUUCUGGAUUUGACCAAUGAUGUUCUCCACUGAAAGAUCCCUUGGAAUUCUCCAUUCCUUUGGCAACUCUUCUUGUUGCAGAAUUUCAACCGGUUGUUUCACAGAAUCAAUCGGUUCUUUUUCUGGACAAGAUUCCAGCUUCUCCAAGGUGAUGUUCUACUCAUCUUCUGCAUAAACCUUUGUAGAACCCUGAUCACUAUAAAUAAUUUCAUCAAACACCACAUGGACAGAUUCCUCCACAGUUAUAAGCCAUCAACAACACCAGAUCAGACUCUUUAUUCUUGAAGUUUCUUUACAUAGGUCAUGAAUUUUGACUUGUCAAGAAUAUGAGUAAGGUGUAUGCUCUUGAACCAUAAUAAGAAGCAUCACUUUGAUUAGUCUUCAACAUAGCACAUGUACUUGAAAGGUCCUGCAACACAGAAUUGAUGCAUAUACAAAGCAAGUAUAGCAGUAAGAUAACAAGACACACACAAACUAGUUUUCUGCAUAUACAACAUUAGCAGAAAAACCAGAAAAAUUGAAGUAAUCAAGUGCUUUCGUCUUAAAGUUAUCUUAUACAACGAAAUCAAGCAUAAACAACUUCCCUUAUUUGCUCUCACAAAUAGACAAUGAGAAGGGUAGUACAAAGCAGAAAUCAGAAUGAUAAUAUAGUAGACAAGCAGUACAAACAAUGUUGACAUUUCAAGAAUAAAAAAUGAUAUAGAGCUUUCAAGAAAACAAGUGGAUAUAAUCUUUUAUUAUCAAAUUCUAAGGCACACUCAAUGUAUAUUUUUCCAAAAAUAAGAUUUGAAAAAGAGAAAAAGGUUUAAUCAUGCAUAAGCAAACUUGGCAGCAUUAUACAGAGGUGCAAGAGGAAAAAUAAUCGGUUGUUUCGAAAAAACAAUCAGUUGUUUUACUGUGACAACAAAAAGAACAUUUUUCAUAACCAAAAAUUACCUUUUAAAUUGAUGAAAAUGCAGUAUGCAAUUUGUUCAUAACUUUGUACAAAGAACGCCAAUAGAUUCACUCAAAAAGAAGACUUUGAGAUGUUCAUAUGGUCACAAGGCACACUUACAUAAAUUGAGAAAUGAAAACACACAUACUCUCUUUGAAGUUUCUUUUGAUCAACACUAUGCAUGUGCCAAGGAUGUCUCUUGACAUUCAAAGAACCCUGCAAGACAUAUACAAUUGAUAAGUGUAGGUACAAAGAUUGUCUUUGCUCUUGAUAUUCUUCCCUUUAACAGUCCUUCUUCAAGCCCAAAAGUGAUUCUUGGCUGCCAAGGAUACCUACAAGAAAAGAUUAAGAAGCAAGAUUUAGUCCCCUUAUGAAUUUGGGUCCAAUUAUGUUAGUAGAAGUCUUAGGAACCUCAGAACCUUAGGAACCCAUUUCAAAAUACCUUUAGGAACAAAAAACUUCCUAAUAUUGCAGAAUAUAACUGAGUGGCCUCUCUUCAUGCAAUAAAAACACGUAACAACCAGUUGUUUCGAUUUUUCAAUCGGUUGUUUUUCUGGAAGUUUUGAAAAAAACUUUGAAAACUCAGUUUUCUUGCUUUGUGGAUUAAAACCUAAACCUACUUUUUCAAAAACACAAUUUUGAGAUGUCAAGACAGUCUCAAAGUUGGAUUUACCCUGUGAAAGCCUAUCCACAAUUUUCACAAGGUAGUGAACCUUCUUUUCAAGAGAUUCACAAUUUUCACAAAUAAGUGAGUCACACUUGCAAGAAGAGUUUUUGUAAAGCAUUUCUAGAUUUUCAAAAUCAGUUUUUGAAUUCUCCAACUCUUCUUCUAGUGCCUUGACUCUAUUUUCAAGCCAGUUAUUCAACCCUUUUAACCGGUUGUUCAAGAUUUCCAAUCGGUUAGCUUCCUCAUGUGUUUCUUUAAAAGCUAGAAGAAGUUGACUAUAAUUUUCAGCAUUUAAAGAAGUACAAGAACUUACACUACUUGCAUCAUCUUCUUCCUUGGCCAUCAAACACAAAUUGGCUUCUUUUUUAUUUUGCUUUCUUUUCCUUCUUGCUUGACUUAUUCUCCUUGCUCUCUUUAUUUCAUUGGUUCACUCAUGAGUUACUUCAAGUGUAUCACACAUCUCCUUAGCAGAUCCACGUUUUGAGAACCUGAAAAACUCAUUAGAAUUUAAGGCAGAGGUGAUAAUAUUUUUUGCAAUGCAAUCAAACUUUGCUCUUUUUUUUUUCUGCAUCAGUCCAUUGGGACCAAGGCUUUUCAAUAAAAACACCAUCCUUUUCAAACUUAGGAAUAAAAGAACCAUUUUCAAUUGCAUCCUAUAUUCCUUUAUCAAGAUAUUCAACAAUGAUCUUCAUACGUACCUUCCACAAAAUAAAGGUGGCCUGUUAAUUGAGGCACCCUCCCCAAAAAGGUUUUUUUUCAACCAUAGAAAAAAGAUUUUUAGGAUCAAACUUGAGUAGAUUUUAGGUACCAAGCUCUAAUACCAAUUGUUAGAAUAUAUGGCCUUAAACAAGAGGGGGAGUGAAUUAUUUAUAAAAGAUUUUCGAAAACUUUGAAGGUAUAAUGAAAGCCAAUGAAGAAUCACAGAGAAAGAAACUAAGGAAAGCAAUGCACAAAGCUGUUUUAGUUGAUUUCCAGAAAAUCAACCGGUUGUUUUUGCGAUUCAACCGGUUGUUUUUAUCAACAGUUAAUAAAAACAACUUAAAACAGAUAUAUGUGAGAUAAGGGAAAGAGAGAAUCACUCAAACAAAUUUAUACUGGUUCAUCCUUACACCAAGAGCUACAUCCAGUCCCCAGAAACCAUUGGGUAAUCCACUGUGCAAUCAAAACCAGAUUACAAACACCACACACCAAAGUAGUGACCUUGAACCCCUCAAGAAACACACUACCAUUGGCAAACCACACCAAAAGUAUUGAUCUUGAACACCUCAAGAACACACAAUACUCCUUGGCAAACACAACUACAGAAAUACAGUAAUCAAGGAAGAAGGGAAUAGAAUACACAUGGGUAUUACAAAGCUUAAAGUUUAGAAUUACAACUCAAUCCUAUUCCACACACUUAAGAUGGUCCAAAGCUCUUUCAAAUCUUGGAAAAAUUGUUUUGAUAAACUCUUUCUCUUACUCCAAGAUUAGGAGCGUAAAACCACCUUUAUAUAGACCAACCAAGUGGUAAAAAACAUUUAAUAAAGGAGCCAAGGUAGUAAGGAUCAUUUAAAACAUAUUAAAAUCACUUAACAAAAUUCUAUUAAGGUUUUCAUAAACACAAUCGAUUGUUUUGUCGAAACAAUCGGUUGAAUUGACUUGACAGCAAAGUCAAGCUUUUCUAAACCUUUUCAAAAACUACUAAGGUAAAAUAACCUGUUUUUUCGAAAUUUCAACCUGUUGAAUUUUCAACAGCAUUUUAGAAAACUCAUCUUUUCUAAAGGUUAAAGAUUCAAAUGAACUUGGAUCAUCUUAAGGAGUGAAUUAACAAGUUUCAAACAACUAGACAACACACACACACACACACUCAACAACAAGGUCUCCAAGCUUUCCUCUUGGAUUUGGAGACAUCAAAGCAUCUUGUUCAACAUUAUGUACAUAGAAAAAAACUUUUUUGAUAAUGUCUUCAUCACUGUAAUGGACGCUAAGAAUAAAACGAAGGACAAUCAAAAGGCGAGAAUGGAUGUUGCUGAAUUGUGUGUCUGUGGAGGCUUGGAGUUGAUUUAAUUACAAAAUGGAAAGUUUGUAAAGCCAAAUGCCAACUACACAUUCUCAAAGAAAGAUGCUAAGUCAAUUUACAAACGGAUUACCGAGUUGAAGAUGCCAAAGGGUUAUGCCUCUAACAUUGCAAGGUGUGGAAACCAAGACAAGGGAAGUAUGCAUGGCAUGAAAAGUCAUGAUUGACACGUUUUCAUGGAGUGGUUACUCCCAAUAUGUUUUCCGUCAUUGCCAAAAUUUGUAUGGAGUGCCCUUGAUGACUUAAGUUGAUUCUUUAAAUACUUAUGUUCUAAUACAUUAAGGAUGAAUGAUCUUGUCAGAAUGGAAGAAAACAUACCAAGCAUCUUAUGUAAGUUAGAACGAAUAUUUCCACCAACAACUUUCUUUGAUUCAAUAGAACACCUUGUCAUUCAUCUUCCUGUGGAAGCAAUACUUGGUGGUCCUGUUCAGUAUCGUUGGAUGUAUCCCUUUGAAAGGUAAGAAUUAUGUUAAUUAUUUUAAUGUUUAAGAAGGUGUGCAACUUAUAAUAACUACUGUUUUUGUUUAAGAUGAUGAGAGAUGCAAAGAAAUCAAUGGGUACUCAUAAGUAGAAGGAUCAAUACAUGCAUUCUACCUACAUCAAGAGAUAACAUAUUUUUGCUCUCAUUAUUUCAAAUGUGUCAGCUUGUUGUCAAAUAAAAGUUUGAGAAAUGAUCCUCAAACAUUUACAAAUGAGGAAGACACAUCCAUAUUGUCGGUUUUGAAUAAAUGUGGAUGCCCAAGUGGUUCUAACAAAGACUAUUGUUCAGUGAUAAAGAACAUCGUUCUACCCAUGUUCAAGUCCUCAUCAAUUGCGAUGAGGUCAAACCAUUUCUUAAGUAAUUUUAAUUGUACAUAAUUUGAAUUAAAUUAUUUUAGGUUGUGUAAUUUGAUAACUAAUUCCGAUUAAUAUUCAAAGAUUGUUCUUACAAGUGUACUCAAUCAAUGACAAAGACCACUCCACCACACUUGGAGUUUUCCACUUUAGCCCACCCCCGGUACAUUUGUGCAACCCACCCUAGUGUUAGAAUAUAUGGCCUUAAACGAGAGGGGGAGGGGGGGGGUGAAUAUUUUAAAGGGGGUUUUCGAAAACUUUUUAAGCUAGAACAAAAUCCUUUGAAUGAAACUCAAUUAGAAAUUCAGUUAGCCAAGACAUAAAGCACAAAACAGCAAAGCACCAGAAAAACAAUCGGUUGUUUAUACCAGCAAAGCAAUAACAACUAAAUUUAAAUGAGUUUAAGGGAAGAAAGAGAUACACAAACAAUUUAUACUGGUUCACUCUUAAACCAAGAGCUACAUCCAGUCCCCAGAAUCCACUGGGCAAUCCACUAAGCAAUCAAAUACAGAUUACACACAAAACCACCAAAGAAGUGACCUUGAACCCUUCAAGAAACACACUUCCUUUGGCACAACACACACCAAGAAUGUUGAUCUUGACAACCUCAAGAGCACACAACACUCCUUGGCUUACAACACCAGAAAGUACAAAGUAUUCAGAACGAAUUACACUUGUUUACAUAAUAAACUGAAAUCAAUACAAAUGUAAUCCUAUUCCACUCUCUCUUGAGAAAAUCAAAGCUGAAAAGUGAAUGUUCAAAACUUGAAAGCAAUUUCUCACAACUGAAAAACUCAAAUAUGUUUUUGUUGUUUGUUAUAAAACAUAAACAAACUAUUUAAAGCUUUCAAAAAUUGGUCAAAGCAUUUAAUACAGGAGCGUAUUAAGUUGAAAAUCAUUUAAAGCACACUCAACUAACAAAACAUAUUCUGUUAGGAUUUUCAAACAAGCAAUCAAUUGAAAGCACGAAACAGUCGAUUGUUUUGGUUUGACAGCAAGUCAACCAACCAAAACAGUUUUCAACCUUUUCAAAAACACCUAAGAGUAAAACAAUCGGUUGUUUCGACAAAACAACAGGUUGUUUUUCACUUAGUUUGAAAAACACUUUAAUUUCAAAAGAUUUAAAAACACUUUAGCUUUAGAUUCAAUAAAGAGUGGAUUAUACAGAUAAACUACCUAGAUCCUAUCCUAAACACAACAACAACUUCAGCCUUGCAUCAAACACUUGGAUUUGGAUUCUUCAAAGCCUUUGAUCACACUUGAUUCAACACCUAGAACAUUUUUGUAUCCCACCCCUGGUACAUUUGUGCAGGCCACUCCUUGUCCCAUUUCCCAAACCACAUCUUCUCCCUUUGUCCCGACUAUUGCUGCCUCUGUGCAAGGCCUUUCUGACCAUGUUGACCAUGGCGCCGCUACUGCUUCAGAGCACGACCUCCCCCUUUAGGCACCCUGCUAGUAGGGUCAUCAUCCAACUUCUUGGUAAAGGGUAAGUCAUCCUAAAGUUAUAUUUAUUUUUAUCUUCAUAUAAUAAAUGUCUCUAAUUUGAUUUGUUUGAUGCCAUGACUGAGGAGGAUAAACUAAAAUGGUAGACUAACUUUAAGAUAAUUUUAAUUUUUAAUACAAUUUCAUACAAAUCAAUCAGAAUGGUAAAGCUGAAACAAAAUAUUUUCUUCUUUUUAACAGAGUAGAGUCACUUGGGCACCUCAGGAUGAGUGGCAGAUUAAAAAGGUAUAUGAGCCUAAAGCCAAAAAAUGACUUUGUGACAUGUUUACCAAAGCCAGGGCAAAGGGUGUCCGACCUACUUGGAUAGGCGAGUAGGCAUGGGUUGAGCUUCUGAACUAUUAGACUACACAAAUAUUAAAAGAUAAAUCAUCUCAGAAUAAAGUGAAAAGUGUUUCAGCUUAUGGUGGAGCAUUGCACUCCACAGGUCAAACAUCAUAUUCAGAUAUUGUAGUGAAUUUGGUAAGUACUCAUCACUGUCUUAGAUGGAAUUCAUUUUACAUUUGCAACAUAUAAUGCUUAUAAUUGUACAACAUUAUUUGGAACGUCAAUAUGGUCAUCCUAUUGAAUCUGAUGAACUAUUUAUGGCCACCCACAUAAACAAGAAGGGUGAUUGAGUUGAUACUCGUGUCCGCGAAACUUAUGUAAGUUAUUGUUCUAAGUCUUUUUAAAUUUUUAUUUUAAUUUCAUAACAUUUCCAUCUCCUAAUGAAUUAUGUAAGAAAACUAUCAUGAGCGCUCGAGGACCCUUCAAGUAAAUAGUUCUCAAGACUCUAGCACCGAUGUCCAUCAAGUUGAUCCAGCAACAAAGCUUCAAACUGGAAAGGAAGCUGCCGAAUGAAAGAGUAGAGGUCGAGUGUAUGGUACAACAAACUUGGUUGGUAACUUCCGCCAAGGAGUCUCUUCGCUCACUCAACCCUUUGUAUAUAAUGCUUCACAAUCUGAUCAGUUGACUAAAAAUCAACAACUUCGUACAAAACUUAGUAUGUGGGGUUAAAAGUAUGCACAAUUAGAGGACGAAAUGAAGGUCAUAAAGGAAAAAAUUUUCUCAGUGUUGCAAAGUGAUAAUGCUUCCACUAGCACAAGUUAAUUCCACACAAGUAUGAUCCAGAGCAUGAUGACCAGCCCUUCCUUUAAAGUGCAUCCCAGACUGUUUGUAUUUUUUUACAGGUUUUUACAUAUCACAUCACUACUAUUUCUACUUCAUGGGAUGCAUUUUAUAUUUUCAAUUGCAUUAUUUUUAUGUAAUUGUGUUAUCGAACAUUUUAAGUUCUAGUACCUUUAGUUAAUUUCUAAAGUACAAUUUUAUUUUAUGGUUUAUUUUAAUUCUAAGUUCUAUUUUAUGUAUUAAUAUUUAGAUUGAAUGAUUUGGAUGGAUGAAAUUAUCUAAAUGACUUUGUUUACAUAUUUGGAUAAUUUUUUUAAUGUGAAUGUGGUGUGAAUGAUGGGGAUUUGUUAUUCUGUAACUGUUACAGGUAAAAAUGGCUAGAACAAAAAAUAAAAUGUUUUUUUUAAACCAUUAAUGCAUAAGCCAAGUACACACAAAUAAUUUUUAAUUUUUUUUGCUACCAUUUAUGCAUAGGCCAAGCCCACACAAGUUUUUAUUUCUUAAGUUAUGCAUCACCCUGGCCAACGCAAAAUAUGAUGCCAUUUUUAUUUUUUUCUCUUCUUCGUCGGGCAAACGAAUGCAUAUGCUUUUUUUUAUACAUUUUCUUCGCUUUGACCCACGCAUAAGUCAACGAUAUUAUGUCACUUUUACAUCAUCCUGGCCGAUGAAAUUUGUGUGCGUUUUUUGUUGACUUAGCCCACGCAAUUUCCAUUGCUUGUGCUGGCCGAUGAAAAUAUCACUUUGCUUCCACGACUUUUUCAUCCGCUGCUUGGCCAACGCAAAUUUGACGUUUAUUCGUCGGUUUUGGUUCAUACGCAUCUGUUUUUGGCGAAAUACAGUAUUUUUCUUCUAGUGUAAACUUAGACGGUCUAAAAACUUUGACAAAAUUUGACUAAACUAACCUUCAGAAAAACAAUCAUAUUUUUUUGUUUGACAUCUUUUAUGUUCUUUAAUGUUUGAUAAAUCUAUAAUUGUCUUGGACAACCCUUUCUUUAUAUUAGUAGGUCAUGUUCCAUGUAUCUAGUGUUGUGAAUUUUGAGUAUUACUAAAGGCAUAUAGUCUCACAUUGUCUAAAUUACACACUCUUAAAUUAUUUAUAUACCAAAAGACUCAUUACACUUCUAAAGUGGGUAGCAAAGAAGGUGGUGUUAGAAUUGUAGGCCUAAAACAGGAGGGGGGGGAUGAAUUAUUUUUUAACAUUUUUCGCAAACUUUAAAGGUACGGAGAAAGCCAAUGAAGAAUCAAAGCCAAAGGAAUAAAAAUGCUCAAGUUACAAAACUGUUUUAAUUGAUUUCCAGAAAAUCAAUCGGUUGUUUAUGCGGUUCAAUUGGUUGUUUUUAUCAGCAGUUUAUAAAAAUAAGUUAAAACAGAUAUAAUUGAGAUUAGGGAAAGAAAGAAUCACACAAACACAUUUAUACUAGUUCACUCUUACACCAAGAGCUACAUCCAGUCCCCAGAAACCAUGGGUAUUCCACUAUGUAAUCAACCACAGAUUACAACCACACACACACCAAAGAAGUGAUCUUGAAUGCCUCAAGAACACACACUUCCUUUGGCAAAACAACACACCACAAACUAGAACAAACUCUGACUCUGUGAAACAUAGUUCUUUACAGAAAUACAGAUCAAAAGAGAAUAAGGAAGGAUCACACCUGAUACAUAUUGAAUUACAAAAGAUAACAUAGCAGUCCUAUUCCACUCUUAGACAAGUUCAAUAAGCUUGAUCUAAAUCUUGGAGAGAACUGAUUUCAAAAGAUUAAUCUAAGAUCAUUUCUACCAGGAGCGUAAAACAAACUAUUUAAACUCCAAAAGGUUGUUGAAAACAUUUAAUAAGGAGCCAAAUCAGUUUUGAAUCAAUUAAAACAAAUUUACUAAACUUAACAUAUUUUGUUAAGAGUUUUCAAAAAACAAUCGGUUGAAUUGUCGAAACAACCGAUUGAAUUGGCUUGACAGCAAGUCAACCAAUUUCAAGCUUUGUCAAAACCUGUUUCAAAAGCACUAAGUAUCAAACAACCGAUUGAAACGAUAAAACAACUGGUUAAUUUUCCACUUCUUUGCAAAACACUCUUUUUCAAAAGGAUUUGAUUUAAACCAACUUUGAAUCCUAACUAAGAGUGGAUUUUUAAAUUAAAAUUACUCAGAACACACACACAAGCUACAUCCAACCUUCAAGAAAUCCAUAUAGAUUUGGAGACCUCAAAGCUCGUGGUCAACAAUCUCCACCUAUUUGAUGAAGACAAAUCCCUAGUUUGCUUGUGUUGUUCUGUUUGAAUUUAAUGGUACUUGCAAAACAACUAAAAUAUGCAGUACCAAAGAGUAAUCAUAUUCAGAUUCCCUUGCAUACUAAACCAAUUUCAAGCUUUGUCAAAACCUGUUUCAAAAACACUAAGUGUCAAACAACCAAUUGAAACGAUAAAACAACUGGUUGUUUUUCCACUUCUUUGCAAAACAUUUUUUUUCAAAAGGAUUUGAUUUAAACCAAAUUUGAAUCCUAACUAAGAGUGGAUUUACAAAUUCAAACUACUCAUAACUCACACACACAAGCUACAUCCAACCUUCAAGCAAUCCAUAUAGAUUUGGAGACAUCAAAGCUCUUGUUCAACAAUCUCCACCUAUUUGAUGAAGACAAAUCCCUGGUUUGCUUGUGUUUUCUGUUUGAAUUUGAGGGUACCUGCAAAAAAACUAAAAUAUGCAAUACGAGAGAGUAAUCAUAUCCAAGUUCCCUUGCACCACUAAAUCAGUUUCCACUAUGUGAUUUUCACAAUGAAAAUCAACAAAAUCAGUGUGAAAAAAACCAAUGUAAGUAUGCAAAAUCAAAGUUUCUGCAACAGCUUUAAACCAACAAUUAAAACAAUUAUAAACCAUCAUACAAGCAACAUACAAACUAGAAUAUUCUCCCCUUAUUUGUCUUCACAAAUAGAAUAAUAGAAGGGAUAAAAACAAAAUUAAGAAAGAGUUUGAGAAUCAAUAAUACCCAACUAAUUUCUUAAGAGAAAAAACUUGUCUUUUGGCAAAGACUUAGUGAAAAUGUCUGUCAGUUGCUUUUCUGUUUCAAUGAAUUUCACUUCACAAUCUCCAUUACUGACAUGAUCCUUUAUAAAGUGAUGACGAUUCUCUAUGUGUUUUGUUCUGGAAUGCUGAAUCUGAUUUUUGGUAAGAUUUAUAGCACUUGUGUUGUCACACAAUAAAGACACCUUGCUAACUUUCAAGAUUGAUCUUAUAAUAACCAUGUUCAUCACAUAACAUGUAGUGCUAAUAGCAUUUUCCCAAAAGUACUUUGGCAAGGAGGAUUCACUCAACAUGGUUCUUGCAAGCUCUUUAAGAGACUUGUUCUUCCUUUCCCCAACUCCAUUUUGCUGAGGAGUUAUAGGAGUAGAGAAAUUAUGGAAGAUUCCAAGCUUUUCAUAGAAUGAACUGAUCUUUUCAUUUUGGAAUUCUCCACCAUGAUCACUACGAGUAACACAUAUGUUGCUGCAGCUGGUGUUUUGCAACCUCUUAGCAAGCUUUUCGAAGGUAGCAAAAACAUCACUUUUUGAUUCUAAAAACAGUGUCCAAGUGAACCUAGAAAAGUGAUGAACAAUAACAAGAACAUAGUAAUUACCACCAAGACUCAUAGUUCUUGAAGGACCAAAUAAAUCCAUGUGGAGGAGCUCAAGGGGUUUUGAAGUGGAAACUACACUUUUCAGCUUAAAAGAAUGUCUAAUUUGUUUCCCCUUUUGACAUGCUUCACAUAUAUGGUCUUUGUCAAACUUGAUCUUGGAUAAUCCUACAACAAGAUCUGUAGAUAUAAGUUUAUUCAAAUCAUGCAUGUGAAUAUGAGAUAUUCUUCUAUGCCAUUACCAUGAUUCCUCAUGUUGGUUUAGAAGACAACCAAUAGAUGUAGGAUGUGAGAUAUCAAGAAGAUAAACAUUGUUGACCCUUUUACCAAUUAACAAUACUUCCUGUGAAUUUGGUAGACGUAUCUCACAAGUGCUGGAUUUGAAGGUUACUUGAUAACCUUUAUCACACAACUGACUAAUGUUGAGUAGACUAUUCUCAAGCCCUUCUACGUAUAUGACAUCAUGAAUUAGGAAGUUGUUCUUGUCACCAAUGGUGCCUGUCCCAAGAAACUUCCCUUUAUUGUUGUCUCCAUAGGUCACAUGACCUUCUUGCUUGAGGAUAAGGUUGACAAACUUGGAUUUCUCCCCUGUCAUAUGCUAGGAGCACCCACUCUCCAGGUACCACAUAUGUUGAUUUUCUAUCAAAGAAUCUUGUAUAAGACAAAAUCAAGUAUCAAGAUUUGGUCCCCUUACAAAUUUGGGACCAUGAGCAUUAGUUGGAUCCUUUGAACCCUUAGGAUUCUUGGGAAUCCACUUCAUAUCACCUUUAGAAACAUAAAAUUUCCUAAUUUUACAAAACCUAACAGAAUGACCUAUUUUCAUGUAGUAAAAACAUGUAACAAUCGGUUGUUUCGACUUUUCAAUCCGUUGUUUUUCUGUUAUAGUAGAAUAAGGUUUUGAAAUUCAAUUUUUCUUACUUUGUGGAUAGAAACCCAAACCAAAUUUUCCAAAAACACAAUUUUGAGAUGCUAGAACAGUCUCAAAGUUUGAUUUUCCUUAUGAAAGCUUAUCCACAGUUUUUACAAGGUAAUGAACUUUCUUUUCAAGAGAUUCACAGUUUUCAUAAAAACUAGAGUUACACUUGCAAGAAGAGUUUUUAUAAAUCAAUUCUAGAUUUUCAAAAUCAUUUUUCGAAUUUGCUAGCUCUUCUUCUAGUGUUUUAACUCUAUUUUUCAACCAAUUAUUUAAGCCUUUCAAUUGGUUGUUCAAGAGAGCCAAUCUAUUAUCUUCCUCAUGUGUUUCUUUGAAAGCUUCAAGAAAUUGUCUAUAAUUUUUUAUCCUGCCGACAACUCGAGCGUGGAGGAAUUGCCUUGUCGCUUGCUUGACCCGCCUCUGGCAACUGUGCUAUCUGCAAGAAUACUCUUAGAACCUCCUCCUUGGGAACUCCAAACGCAACCUGCAGACACACAGACGGUGCCUCUAGCGGCCGUUUGCACUCCGACGCUUAAGUUAGAUCACAUAAUCACUAGAAAAUAAUGUGUGUAAAAAAAACAGUGUGUGUAUUUCUCUCUGAUUCUCUUUUUAUCCCCCUCUGUGUCUGUGCCUAACAGAAUUCUGCUACGCUGUCCUCUGCGCGUGUCAGAAUUUUGUUAUGCUUUUGUACAAAAACGUACCACAGUCAGGGUCGUGGGUGUCUGGGUUUUCUGUCUGUACCUUUCACGACACGGAGUGCACCUUUAUCUGGGCCGCGCCCCUCUCAGACAGUGACACGUGGAGGCAUGCAACUCGCAUCUAACCGUUCACGUGCCUCCACCUGAAGGGCUCUAGCGCAUCUCUUGUGCGCCUAAGUUAUUCCCUUGCGGAGUAACUUAACGCGUUUCUUCCAUCUGGGUGAAAUCGCACAUUCCCAGGAGAACGCCAGGUGUGGCUGGACUAGGCACACUCACCAAACAUUGCUCUCUGCAUACACGAUUUCCCCUUCACGAUGCCAUGCACGUAAUGGGUUGAGUGAGUAACCAAUCACUGACCGGUUUACUGACUCCCUCAGGCCACUCUCGUGCACGACUAUACCGACGAGGAGCUCUUCUUUCUCUGAGGUAUGAUCAUGCGAGGUCCAUGCAAAAUGCUCUCGCUGGGAAUCUCAGUCCCAGUUUAACUGCGUGUAACACGAAACCCCGAUGACUGAUCGGUGCUCUAUUGCUUCUCGCGUUCUCCCCCGGGUGUUUAUCUUGGCACUGAUCUGUCGGUGGCCACUCGGUUACUGACCACCGAUCUCCAUACCGGGGAAUCUCCUCCAUGACUACUCUGCCACCUGAUCCACGUGUCACCCGUUUAUCUUGGAACUGAUCUGUCGGUGGUCACUCGGUUACUGACCACCGAUAACCAUAUCGGGUGAUCUCCUCCCCGAUUUCUCUGCCACCUGACCAUGUGUCACCGUGCUAGUGGUCCAUGUUGUUAUCUGCUGCUGACGUCAUCGACUACCGAUUACCGACCGGAUCACAAGGCCCCUAGUCUCGAGCUGUGAACUUGUUCUCAGCGAAGAGACUAAGUGGUCGCGCUCUCGGUCCACAUGGCAAGUGGGGCCACCUCACGUGUUGCCCUUUAACGUUACAACUUCCUUUCUUAAUCUUGCGACACGUGGCCGCAUCAACGGCCAGCGUGGAGUGCCGCUAGCGCUUCCCUUAUUCAAAUAGGCGCGCGUUUUCACUGUUUCAUCAUCUUCUUCAACACUCUCAGGCUCACUUCGAAUUCCCUCUCUGCGCGCCCAUCUCCCUUCAAGCUUUCUACCUCCCAACCUUUCGCGAUCACUCAAAGGUAUGGUUUUUCUUCUUCCUUGGUCUAUUUAGGCUCUUUUCACCGAUUGCAUUCGUCCCUUUCAUUAUCAUGCAUUCAUCUUCUCGACCCGCGUUAGGGUUUUCGCGCCCCUCACUCUGCUUUCUGCUUCUCCCUCUUCCUCUUUUUUGCCUAGACAUCUCUUUCUUCUUCCCUUCCUCUGUUUUUCACCGAACCAUUCAUAAUUUCUUCUUCUUCCAUUCCUCUGACCCUUCAUUUUUCUCCAUUGCAGUUAUCUCGCAAUGGCUCGCUUAAAACAAACCGCUCGAAUCGUCACUUCGUCUUCUGGUGCACAGCCUUCAGCAAGUGCACCGGCACCGCCACCACCCGAUGCAACCUCCUACCAUGACAACGCCAGGGUCUACGACUGGGCUCCCUUGGCGUUGCUGGCCGAAACCUCCACCCUACUACCGCAGGGUCACCUCAAAUCCCUUCUGAGCAAUGACCCAGAUGAGUCUUCUUGCGCCGUCGAUAGGGAAAACGAUAUUAAUAUCCGUAUACGCAUUCCUCCUCGAGGAAUGCCCAUCUGUGCGGAUGACAGGGCCACCAAUGGGGUGCCCUUCACCUUCGUCUACUCCGCCAUCUUCAAGAGGUUGAAGUUGCGCCUGCCCUUCACCUUUUUCGAGAAGGAGCUGAUGAUGGAGCUGAACGUCGCACCCUGCCAACUCCAUCCAAAUGCCUGGGCUUUCACCCGGGCAUUUGAGAUUCUCUGCAAUUACUUCGGGCUUAACGCCUCCGUGGAUGUGUUUCUCUACUUCUUCGAGGCGAAGAACCCUGGGGUCAGUCUGAAUGGGGUUGCUGGACGGGUGCUCUUGGGCCUGUAUCAGCAAUCCUUCAAAGAUUGGAAAGGCAGGUUCUACAUGAUAUCUGCCACCCCACAAAGUCCAACAUUGCUCGAGGGGUACCCCCUCUACUGGGUUCCUGGGGUUGAGUUCAAGAAACCCCGGGGUCUCGAAGCCAUGGCCCCCUACGAGCGCGAGCUAUGUGGGCUGUUCCUGGGGGCCAAGUACAACUCUGCUNNNNNNNNNNNNNNNNNNNNNNNNNNNNNNNNNNNNNNNNNNNNNNNNNNNNNNNNNNNNNNNNNNNNNNNNNNNNNNNNNNNNNNNNNNNNNNNNNNNNNNNNNNNNNNNNNNNNNNNNNNNNNNNNNNNNNNNNNNNNNNNNNNNNNNNNNNNNNNNNNNNNNNNNNNNNNNNNNNNNNNNNNNNNNNNNAAAGCUUUGCUGGAGCUUGCCAGACUCAAAGGGGCCAAAGGGACUGGCUCCUCUUCUUCCACCACUGAUCCUAUCGCCGCUCCUCCUCUCUCGGUCGCGCCAGCUGAAGGCCCCGAGCCAGGAAGGAAGAGAAGAAAGCUGGCGAAGGCCUUUCCUUCAUCUGCUGCUGCUGCUGCUCCUACUCCCUCAACCGAAGAGGAGAGCUCUGGCUCUCCUCUCGUACACCGCAAGAGGAAACUUCCAGCGGUUGGGGGGGCUUCAUCUCUUCAGCCUGGGGAGAUUGAGGUAGUGGAGAUAGAGGAAGGUUCGCCCUCGCCUCCUUCUAUUCAACCUGCCCUAGUGCCAACAUGCUUUCCCUCUCCUCAACAACUGCCAUCCCCAGCUCCUCGAUCACCAUCUCCUUCCCCAGCAGGCCAACCACUUGGUCAAUCCACUCCACUUGCUGGGGGCGAUUCUGCUCGCUCGGGGGAUCUCUCGGGACCUCUCGUGAUGNNNNNNNNNNNNNNNNNNNNNNNNNNNNNNNNNNNNNNNNNNNNNNNNNNNNNNNNNNNNNNNNNNNNNNNNNNNNNNNNNNNNNNNNNNNNNNNNNNNNAGGCGCCAUUCCCGAGCGCCUCGGUUAUUCUGAACGGUCCCGUCCACUUGGGCGAUAACUUGUUCUGCAUCUCAUACUGAUGGGCCUUCCUCAUCACCAGAUCGCCGCUUCUAAACUGCCUUGACGUUACCUUAGAGUUGUACCUUCGCUCAAGUCUUCUCUUUACUGCUUCGGCUUUCACUCUCGCCUCCUCCCUGACCUCAUCCAGCAAAUCCAGAUUCAUUCUUCUUUCUUGGUUCGAGUCUUCCGCCACGAAGUUCUGGAAUCUCGGCGAGCUUUCCUGGAUUUCGACUGGAAUCAUCGCAUCACAUCCAUAAACCAAACUAAAGGGGGUCUCGUGGGUUCUUGACUGCUCAGUGGUAUGGUAUGCCCAAACUAUGCGGGGUACCUCUUCAGCCCACGAACCCUUAGCUUUCUCUAAUUUUCUCUUUAAACCUCUCAGCAACACCCGAUUGGCAGACUCCCCUUGGCCGUUCGUCUGUGGGUGCUCAACGGAUGCAAACACCUAUUGUAUCCCCACCUCUUCGCACAACUUUUUCAAGAGGUGACUUGCGAACUGAGUCCCAUUGUCUGACACCAGGCGUUUAGGCACACCAAACCGGCACACUAUGUUCUUCCAUACAAAGCUCUCGAUCUUGUGUGCGGUGAUCUGGGCCACUGGCUCCGCUUCGAUCUACUUGGUGAAGUAUUCAAUCGCCACCACCAAGUACUUCAUCUGCCUGAUUGCCAAUGGGAAGGGUCCCAGAAUGUCAAUUCCCCAAGUAUGGAACGGCCAGGGGCUGUAAAUCGACUUCAGCUCUUCUGGGGGUGCCUUGUGCCAAUCGGCGUGCUGCUGGCAUUGCUUGCAACGCUGGGUGUAUCUCUUGCAAUCUUCUCUCAUCGUGGGCCAGUAAUAGCCUGCACGGAUAGUCCUUGUCGCUAGCGAUCGACCUCCAAUGUGGCUCCCGCAAAUUCCCUCAUGGAGCUCAGCCAUAAUCCUCGUGCACUUCUCUCCGUGUAUACAUACAAGAAGGGGGUGUGUGAAUCCAAACCUGUACAGCUCGCCGUCAAUAAGGGUAAACUUGCUGGAGCUCUUCUUUAUUUUUCUGGCCUCAGUUGAGUCCACUAGAAGUACACCAUCCGCUAAAUAACGUUGGUAAGGCGUUAUCCACGUGUCUGGCUCGUGGACAACGCAAAUCUACAUCGAUCUUGCCCCUUCUUCUGCUGGGCACGCUCUGACCCUCGGCGCCCUCAGAGUUUCCUGCGUUAGGGACCUAUGACUUCUCGCCGGUCUUCCCAUUGAUCUACAAACAUGGAGAACUUCGUGGUUUGCCACGAAUAAUCGAGGCGCUUUCAAAAUUUCUUGAAUGACAGUCCUCUGCCUACCCCCCUUGCCCGAACUGGCGAGCUUGGCUAGCAAGUCAGCUCGGGCAUUCUGUUCUCUUGGCACGUGCACCACUUCAAACGAAGCGAAAGAUCUUCUUAGCUCCUGCACGUACUCCAAGUAGGCUGCCAUCUGCGGGUCCUUGGCUUGGAACUCGCCAGUUACUUGUCCUGUGACCAACAACGAGUCGCUCUUGGCCAUCAGCACUGUCGCCCCCAUUUCCUUAGCCAGCAAGAUUCCAGCGAUCAAAGCCUCAUACUCUGCUUGGUUGUUGCUUGCUUUGAAAGCGAACCUCAAUGACUGCUCUAUCAACACUCCGUUGGGCCCUUCCAAGAUGACCCCAGCCCCGCUGCCCAGCUGGUUGGACGACCCAUCAACAGAGAGUACCCAGCGAAAGUCACCCUCGGCGUUUUGUGCCACCUAGGAGGACAACUCGACCACGAAAUCGGCGAAGACUUGCCCUUUGAUCGAUCCCCGGGGUUCAUACUUGNNNNNNNNNNNNNNNNNNNNNNNNNNNNNNNNNNNNNNNNNNNNNNNNNNNNNNNNNNNNNNNNNNNNNNNNNNNNNNNNNNNNNNNNNNNNNNNNNNNNUGAUGGGGCAAGCCAUCAAUGUCUUGGACUGCGAGGUGGUGGAGUUGCGGGGCAAGGUGACCCACCUGGAGGCCGAGACUUCCUCCCUACGCCAACUGAACUCACAACUGGCGGGGGAUCUCGAGUCUGCCAGAGAAACGACCACUACUGGGGAGAAGAAGCUUGAGGAGGCGGUGAGCAAGCUGUCUGAGGCAAAGGGCCAAUUGGAAGAAGCUGCUUCUUCCAUUGCUUCCCUUACCACCGAGAAGAAUGCUGCGGAGGCCUCCAAGCAAAAGCUCGAAGUGGAGAAUGCUGACCUUAUGGGCGUGGGCGCUGAAGCCCUUGCUGAUGGGUUCGAGCUGGCACUCGAGCAGAUCAAAUGCAUUCUCCCGGAUCUGGACCUCUCCCAGUUCAGCAUUUAUCACGAAGUGGUAGAUGGAAAACUCAUCCCUCUUCCUUGAGCUCUUUCUCUCUUUUUUUUUUUUGUAAUUUUACACUUCUACACAAUUUGUUGUACUUGAACUUGUAUAAACUUUGUUGCUUAAUAUAUACUAGUUUCAGACGCAUAUCUUUCUCUUCGCAUUUUCUUAAGCUUUGUCUUUCUCUUUGCACACGACUAACUGUUAACCAGCUUAGGCUUAGCGCGAUCUGCCUUCUUUGAUCUUGGCCUCUACUUUGAUCACGACUAACAACUCCCUUAGCUUCGUCCUUAACAGUUCUUGUGCACUGCUUUGUACUGGAUGACUGACAAGGCAUAGCCUGUCUGCUAGCUUGUUGUGUAGGAAUUUGUUUGGAAAAGUUUCCUCCGACAAGGCAAGACUGAUCAGUCAUCGUUCUUCAAGCAGCGUACCCACCAACAACUCAUCAGUCAUCGUUCUUCGGGCAGCGUACCCACCGACAACUCAUCAGUCAUCGUUCUUCGUACUUCACUUUGCUUAUCUAUCGCUCUAGCGCUAAGUGCAUAGAGGACAUCGAUGGUCAGAGGUGAUACCUUGUUUGGCGAAACUUGCUCAAUUGCGUGAACUCAGCAAUACUUGAACUUGACCCUCCAUGUACCGCUUUUAACUCGAGCAAGUUGUUUAACCUUAUAACAAACUUGGCAAACUGUUAACUCAAAGUAAACUUGAGCAACUAUCAAUUUUUCGGCGAUGACGUUCAAUAAAACUUGUGAACUUAAGGAAACAAACCUUAACAUAAAAUCACUUACUAGGCAGCAGGUUUUGACUCAAACUAGUAUUAAAAUACAGUUUACCUGAUCUGCCAAGUGAAAUCCCCCCUACUUCUGUCAUCGCCCGGAGCUCUUCUGAUCUGGUACUCGCCGCACAACCCCUUCACUGUCUCAACUUUCACGCCAUAAGGUUCUGGCGAUGUUACCUUUCUUCUUUUCCUGACCUGAUCAUUGUUCCCUCAUCUGGGGAUAGAGGCGCCUUUCGGAUCCUUCUCUACCUUCCUGAGUUUCAGAACAAUGAUCUGGUCUUACUGGGUCAACAUUGAUGUUUCACUUAAAGGGGGAAAGGCAUUUUCCUCCCCUUCCCACCAUUUAAGGUCACAAACACCCCUGACCUUUCAACUCAUUUUGCCUGGACUCACUCGGUGAGAAAGGCUUUUUCUUGCCUGAACUCACUCUAAGGUGAGAAGGACUUUAUCUUGUCUGAACUCACUCUAAGGUGAGAAGGACUUUAUCUUGCCUGAACUCACUCUAAGGUGAGAAGGACUUUAUCUGGUGCCUCAACUUGCCCGGGUGUACAUCUCCACCCCCCCUGGAUGCACUGAGGACUUUAAUCUUGCCUCUAUCUGCUGGUGCAGAGAGGUCUUUUAACCUGUUCUCAUCUGCACUCGCACAAAGACGAGGAGGACUUUAUCUCUUUCUCGCCUCAAGACACGCAAGGGCGUUGAGGUCUUUAAUCAUUGUUGGUGCCUCCGAUCGCCGAAAGACGACGAGGUCUUUAAAACUUUUAACUGAUGCCGCCGAUCGCCGAAAAACGAUGGGGACUUUAAAACUUUUAACUGAGAGCAUGCAAUACGAUUUUACUGUUGCCCUAGAUCACAUACGAGUAAUAAGGCCUUUUUCCUAAAACUCUCGAAGCCAUAAGCAUGCAAACAUAGAAGCUUUAAACUUUGAAAAACUCUUCUUUAUUGGGUGGCCUCAUUAAAAACCCUCCUUAGGGAAAAAAGAGUGCCCCCUUGAAAUUGUUUUAACAGAAACUAUCCAAAUCUCUUCAUAUUCGUCUUUACUUACAAGGCUUUAACUGUAAUACGACUUGAGAUGUGUGGCGUUCCAAGUGCGAGGAAUCGCCCCUCCUUCUAACGUCUCCAAGCGGUAGGCGCCUUUCCCGAGCGCCUCAGUUAUUCUGAACGGUCCCAUCCACUUGGGCGAUAACUUGUUCUGCAUCUCAUACUGAUGGGCCUUCCUUAUCACCAGAUCGCCGCUUCUAAACUGCCUUGACGUUACCUUAGAGUUGUACCUUCGCUCCACUCUUCUCUUUACCGCUUCGGCUUUCACUCUCGCCUCCUCCCUGACCUCAUCCAGCAAAUCUAGAUUCAUUCUUCUUUCUUCGUUCGAGUCUUCCGCCACGAAGUUCUGGAAUCUCGGCGAGCUUUCCUGGAUUUUGACUGGAAUCAUCGCAUCACAUCCAUAAACCAAACUAAAGGGGGUCUCGUGGGUUCNNNNNNNNNNNNNNNNNNNNNNNNNNNNNNNNNNNNNNNNNNNNNNNNNNNNNNNNNNNNNNNNNNNNNNNNNNNNNNNNNNNNNNNNNNNNNNNNNNNNGUACCUUACCUCCGGGCCUUGCAGCACCUUGCUAACGAAAUAUAUAGGCCUUUGGGUCUGGUGCUGAUCCUGCACUAGCACUGCGCUGAUCGCCCUCUCAGUUAUGGCAAAGUACAACCUGAGGGGUGUUAUGUCUUGGGGCUUGCACAGAACUGGAGGGCUCGCCAAAUAUUCCUUGAGCUUUACGAAGGCCUCCUCACACUCCUUUGUCCAAACAAAUCUGUUGUUUCUCUUCAAACAUUGGAAGUAUGGGUGACCCUUCUCUCCGCUUGCCGAUACGAAUCGAGACAGGGCGGCCAUCCGCCCCGUGAGUUGCUGCACCUCCUUCACAUUGGUGGGGCUCCUCAUUGCCAAAAUGGCGCACACUUCUCGGGGUUAGCCUCAAUUCCCUCUCUGACAGAAGAAACCCCAGAAAUUUCCCUGCUUCUACACCAAAAACGCACUUUUCAGGAUUCAGUUUUAGCUUGUACAUGGCUAUUGUGGUGAACAACUCUUCCAAGUCCGCGACGUGCUUAUCUUUCUCCAGGGACGUCACGACCAUGUCGUCGACGUAUGCCUACACAUUCCUUCCGAGCAUGGGUGCGAGCACCUUGUCCAUCAGCCUUUGGUACGUGGCCCCUGCAUUCUUCAACCCGAAGGGCAUCACCUUGUAGCAAUAACAUGACCUUUCCGUCAUGAAGGCGGUUUUCUCUUCGUCCAUGGGGUGCAUUUAGAUUUGGUUGUACCCCGAGAAGGCAUCCAAGAAACUGAGCAGCUUGCACCCUGAUGCACUGUCUACUAGGGCGUCAAUGCUUGGCAAAGGGUAAGAGUCCUUCAGGCAGGCCUUGUUCAAGUCUGUAAAGUCAACGCACAUCCGCCAUUUUUCGCUGCUCUUCUUGACCAGGACGACGUUAGCGAGCCAUUCUGGAUAUUGGAUUUCCCUGAACCCGCUGCAAGUAGUUUCCGUGUCUCUUCUUUGAUCGCCUGUCUCUUCUCCUCAUUGAAUUUUCUUCUUCUUUGGCGGAUAGGCCUGACUUGGGGGUCCAUUGCCAAACGAUGGCACAAGAAAUCGGGGUCGAUCCCCGGCAUAUCUGAAGCAGCCCACGCAAACGCAUCCAAGUGUCUACUUAUUACCUCGGCGAUCUGGUCUUGCGUCUUGCUAUCCAGGGUUCUUCCCAGCUUAAACACCUUACCACUGAUCUCCUUCUCGAGCCAUUCCUCUACUGGCUGAGGUUUCCUCUCGCUGGCGAUCAGCGCCCUCGCGAUACCGGUUUCUCUGGCGGUCUCCGAGCAUUUUCUCUCCGACCUCGCCUCUACAUUCCCCAUCAGCACAUCGCCCUCGGCGACCACCUCUAACGCCGCAUCCGAAGCUCGUCGGGGUUCGCGCUCCGGCUCCACGCCAGGGGGAGGCGUUGUGGUUACGUGGCACACAAACCUCUUGUUCUUGAGGCUGUUUUCGUAACACUUCUUUGCCUCCUUCUGGUCGGAGCAAAUAGUGAUGAUCAUACCCUCCAUAGACGACAGCUUGACCUUCAUGUGCCUUGUCGAAGGCACAGCUCCUGUUCUGUUGAGCGUUGGCCUCCUCAACAGUAUGUUGUAUGCUGAUGGGGCGUUUACAACAAGGUACAUGACCUUCUCCGUUCGUGAGGCCAAGCCGUCGGUGAAAGUCGUCCUUAGCUCGAUAUACCCCCUCACCUCCACUUGGUCGCCGGCAAAACCGUACAAGCAGCCCCCAUAUGGUCUUAGCUGAUCAGGGGACAAUUGCAACUUCUCAAAGGUUGGCCAAAACAUCACAUAUGCUGAGCUUCCUUGGUCGACCAGCACCCGGUGGGCGGUCCUUCCCGCCGUGACAAGCGAGAUCACAAUGGGGUCAUUGUCGUGAGGCACCACGUCCCUGCGGUCCCCCUUGGUGAACGUGAUGUCCACGUCGGGCGAGUGAUCCUCAAAGACUUCCACUGACAUUAUCGACCUCGCGUACCUCUUUCGUUGCGACGCUGUGCACCCCCCGCCGGAGAAUCCGCCAGCUAUGGUGUGGAUCUCGCCGUGAAUAGGCACCUCGUGCUGUUGCCCUCCGCUGCUCACCGGUUGAGACCCUGAUGCUUGGUCCGCUUGCUUCUCUAGCAAGUAAUCCUUCAGGAAACCACAUUUGACCAGCUCGGCGAGCUGGUGCCCCAGAGCCAAACACGAAUUGAUAGAGUGGCCAAAACUCUUGUGGAACUCGCACCAUGCGUCUGGUUUUGGCCCCAAAAUCUUCUCCGCCGUUUUCUCAGGCACUUUGAGCCUGACAGCUAUGUUUGGGAUGGCGAUCAAAUUAACCAAACCCGUCACAAACUCAUACCUCGGGAGGCGAUUACUCUCCCUGGGGCACCUUGGUCCCUUGCUCUUAUUUUUCUUAGGGUCGUAAGGAUGACGCGUCCUUUGAUCCCUCUUUCCCGCCGCCGCCUCCAUUACCCUCUCAGGCUACACCCUUGCUUGGGUGCGCGGUUUAGCUGGGGCCACAUUUCCUCUCUUCUCGGUGACCUCGCUCUCGGCGGCAAUGUGAGCCACAGCACGUCGCCGGAUUUCGGCGAACGUGGCGGGGUGGCUCCUGAUGAGCGACUCACUAAAAGGCCUAGGCAACACACCCUUUUUGAAGGCGUGCACGAACAUCUCUUCGUCCUUUCCUGGCAAACGGACUAUCCGAGCUCUGAAUCUGUUUAGGAAAUCCUUCAAGGACUCCCCUUGGUACUGCCUUAUAUCGAACAAGUCGUAAGACACCAAAGGUGGCGCCUUGUUCACUAUGUACUGCUCAACAAACAUCUUGGAAAACUGUUGGAACGUGGUAAUGUGGCCAGUGGGUAUACUGACUAACCAGUCCAACGCCGUUCCGCUCAAAGUGCUCAUGAACACCUUACAAUACACCGCGUCUGAGCCCCCUGAGAGCAUCAUCUGAGUAUGAAACGGCGUGAGAUGGGCUUCAGGGUCCUCCACCCCAGUGAAAGACGCUUUCACCGCCACAGUGUUAGCCGGGACUACUGAGUCCAUGAUCUCUUGGGAAAAUGGCAUAGGAAAGCUGCGUGGCGGGGAUUGGGGUGUAGAUCUGUCCCCUGCCGCACGCUCCUCCCGCUCCUGAAGGGCUUUGCGCAGCUCUUCGUUGAUCCUGUUGAGCUCUUCGUUCCUUGCUUGCGAGGCCACCAACGCCUCGUGCAUCCUUUCCUGCUCANNNNNNNNNNNNNNNNNNNNNNNNNNNNNNNNNNNNNNNNNNNNNNNNNNNNNNNNNNNNNNNNNNNNNNNNNNNNNNNNNNNNNNNNNNNNNNNNNNNNCGCAACUGAACUUGAGCGCGUUGUCCUCAUCCUUCCUCAGCAAACUCAGCAGCUCAAAGAACUCCAAACAAACGGAAACUCCAGGGGUCAACUACGAUAGCGAGCAGUCGAACAGAGAACACUCGAAGCACCACCAACACAAACUAUGGGUGGGAAUCACCUUUUAUACGUGCCCCACGGUGGGCGCCAAAUGAUCCUGCCGACAACUCGAGCGUGGAGGAAUUGCCUUGUCGCUUGCUUGACCCGCCUCUGGCAACUGUGCUAUCUGCAAGAACACUCUUAGAACCUCCUCCUUGGGAAUUCCAAACGCAACCUGCAGACACACAGACGGCGCCUCUAGCGGCCGUUUGCACUCCGACGCUCAAGUUAGAUCACAGAAUCACUAGAAAAUAAUGUGUGUAAAAAAAACAGUGUGUGUAUUUCUCUCUGAUUCUCUUUUUAUCCCCCCCUGUGUCUGUGCCUAACAGAAUUCUGCUACGCUGUCCUAUGCGCAUGUCAGAAUUCUGUUAUGCUUUUGUACGAAAACGUACCACAGUCAGGGUCAUGGGUGUCUGGGUUUUCUGUCUGUACCUUUCACGACACGGAGUGCACCUUUAUCUGGGUCGCGCCCCUCUCAGACAGUGACACGUGGAGGCAUGCAACUCGCAUCUAACCGUUCACAUGCCUCCACCUGAAGGGCUCUAGCGCAUCUCUUGUGUGCCUAAGUUAUUCCCUUGCGGAGUAACUUAGCGCGUUUCUUCCAUCUGGGUGAAAUCGCACAUUCCCAGGAGAACGCCAGGUGUGGCUGGACUAGGCACACUCACCAAGCAUUGCUCUCUGCAUACACGAUUUCCCCUUCACGAUGCCAUGCACGUAAUGGGUUGAGAGAGUAACCAAUCACUGACCGGUUUACUGACUCCCUCAGGCCACUCUCGUGCACGACUAUACCGAUGAGGAGCUCUUCUUUCUCUGAGGUAUGAUCAUGCGAGGUCCAUGCGUAAUGCUCUCGCUGGGAAUCUCAGUCCCAGUUUAACUGCGUGUAACACGAAACCCCGAUGACCAUGCACCCGAUGACUGAUCGGUGCUCUAUUGCUUCUCGCGUUCUCCCCCGGGUGUUUAUCUUGGCACUGAUCUGUCGGUGGCCACUCGGUUACUGACCACCGAUCUCCAUACCGGGGAAUCUCCUCCAUGACUACUCUGCCACCUAAUCCACGUGUCACCCGUUUAUCUUGGAACUGAUCUGUCGGUGGUCACUCGGUUACUGACCACCGAUAACCAUACCGGGUGAUCUCCUCCCCGAUUUCUCUGCCACCUGAUCCACGUGUCACCGUGCGAGUGGUCCACGUGGUUAUCUGUUGCUGACGUCAUCGACUACCGAUGACCGACCGGAUCAAUUUUCAACAUUAAUUGAGGAACAGAAGCUUACACUGCUUGUGUCAUUUUCUCCUUUGGCCAUUAGACACAAAUUUGCUUCUUCUUCUUCACUUGAAAAGGCACUUGAUGAUGAAACAUCAUUGUCAUCCCAAGCAAUGUAGGCCUUUUUUUAUUUGCCUUUCUUUUCAAACUUCUUGAUGGACUUUUUCUCUUUACUUUUUUUACUAGGACAUUCAGCUUUUAUAUGCCCCUUCUCACCACAUCCAAAACAUGUAUAUUUGUUAGUAUUGAAAUCAAUAGGUUUCUUUCUAACAUACCUAUCAUUGGUGUUAUUUUUGCCGUUGUUCUUCUUUAAGAACUUGCUGAAUUUCUUUGACAACAAAUUAAAAGUUUCUUCUUCACUGUCAUCACUUGAAUGUUGACAGUUUCUGUUCCCAGCAACCUUCAAUGCAAUUGUCCUCACAUGUUUGUCCUCAUUCUUUUGAACACUUAGCCUGUUCAUUUCUAACUCAUGUUCCCUCAACUUUCCAAACAAUGAGGUAGUGGUCAUGGAGGUUAGAUCCUUUGAUUCAGAUAUGAUAGUAAUCUUAGGCUGCCAUGAUCUAUCAAGACACUUAAAUUUUUUGAUAUUAAACUCCUCUUUAUCAAAUGUUUUACCUAGACUCAUAAGAUGAUUUACAAUAUGAUUAAACCGUUUUUGCACUUCUACAAUUGUUUCCCCCUUCUGCAUUCUGAACUCUCAUACUCUUGUAUGAGAGUGUGCUUCCUUGCCCUUUUCACAUCAUUGGUGCCUUCAUGAGUCACUUCAAGAGUAUCCUACAUCUCCUUUGCUGAUUCACAUUGAGACACCCUGAAAAACUCGUCAGAACUUAGUGCAGAUGUGAUAAUGUUCUUAGCAAUACAAUCAUAUUGUGCCUUUUUCCUUUCUUGCUCAGUCCAUUGGGACCAAUGUUUUUCAUAAAUUACUUUUUCAUUUUCAAUCAUAGGGAUAAAAUGACCAUUUUUAAUUGCAUCCCAAAUACCUUUGUCAAUUGAUUCAAGAAAGAUUUUCAUCCUUACCUUCCAGAAUUGGUAAUUUACACCACAAAGCAGUGGUGGUCUAUUUAUAGAAGUACCUUCCCCAAAAGGUAAUUUAUCAGCCAUAAAAACAAAAUUUUGGAUCAAAACUUGAGUAACUUUCAAGAACCUAGCUCUUGAUGCCAAUUGUUAGAAUUGUACGCCUAAAACAAGAGGGACGAUGAAUUGUUUUUGAACAUUUUUCUUAAACUUUGAAGGCAUGGAGAACACCAAUGAAGAAUCAAAGCCAAAAGAAUGAAAAUACUCAAGUUACAAAACUGUUUUAGUUCAUAUCUAGAAAAUCAACUGGUUAUUUAUGCGAUUCAACCGAUUGUUUUUAUCAGCAGUUUAUAAAAACAACUUAAAACAGAUAUAAUUGAGAUUAGGGAAAGAAAGAAUCACACAAACACAUUUAUACUAGUUCACUCUUACACCAAGAGCUACAUCCAAGCCCCAGAAACCAUUGGUUAUUCCACUAUGUAAUCAACCAUAUACACACCAAAGAAGUGAUCUUGAAUGCCUCAAGAACACACACUUCCUUUGGAAAAACAACACACCACAAACCAUAACAACCUCUGACUAUGUGAAACAUAGUUCUUUACAGAAAUACAAAUCAAAAGAGAAUAAGGAAAGAUCACAUCUGAUACAGAUUGAAUUACAAAAGAUUACAUAGCAGUUUAAUGAAGGUAGUUGAAAACAUUUAAAGAUUACAUAGCAGUUUAAUCUUGGAGAAAACUAAUUUAAACUAUUUAAAAUCCAAAAGGUAGUUGAAAACAUUUAAUGAAGAAGCCAAAUCAGUUUUGAAUCAAUUAAAAUAGAUUUACCAAACUUAACAGAUUCUGUUCAUAAUUUUCAAAAAACAAUCACUUGAAUUGUCGAGACAACCGAUUGAAUUGGCUUGACAACAAGUCAACCAAUUUCAAGCUUUGUCAAAACCUGUUUCAAAAACACUAAGUGUCAAACAACCGAUUGAAACGAUAACACAACUGGUUGUUUUUCCACUUCUUUGCAAAACACUCUUUUUCAAAAGGAUUUGAUUUAAACCAAAUUUAAAUCUUAAGAGUGGAUUUACAAAUUCAAACUACUCAGAACUCACACACAUGCUACAUCCAGCCUUGAAGCAAUCCAUAUAGAUUUGGAGACAUCAAAGCUCUUGUUCAACAAGUGGGUCUUACGUUCAUGAAGUUGUGAUCCUCAUUUGGAUUUUUUGUUCACAGUUCAGUAUAAGUACUGCCCAUCCCCUCUUGUGUGGGGUGUUCUUCAUUCUUACGAGUUUGCUUACUAGUUUUGUGCUCCUUGGUACCACUUGAGAAGUUUCGGGUUCUUUAUUCUUACGUGUUUUCUUACUAGUUUGGUCUCUAUGAUACCAUUUAAGAAGUUCCUAUUGUACCCCGGGGGUUGCACAACACAUAUACCAUAAUUGCUAAACUGAUUUUGGAUGUUUCGAACAUCAAAGUUUUCACUGCUAAAAAAUUUUGACGUUGGUAGGAACGCAUGUCACUUUGUUAAACAUGUAUCAUCAUUGAAGAUAGUAAUAGAUAAUAAGAACAAAAUUAAGAAAGACAAUCCUCCUAAGGAAAAUAUAGUCGAAGGGAAAAAUACAAUUGAUGCAGUUGUUUUGCAAGUGAACAUUGUGACCAAUGUGAACAAAUAGGUGGUAGAGAUCUCAGACUACCAAACACAUAUGUGCACACAAAAAUGUGUUUACCUCCUACACUAAUAUGGGGAUGGAGAAGAACAAACUUCUCAGUGAUUCUAGGAAAAAUCUGAUUUUAGGAAAAGGAAAACUUCUUCUAAAACUCACAUCUAGAAAUACUUUGGCUUUAAAUGAUGUGCUACAUGUGUCAUCUAUUAAAGUUAAUUUAAUCUUUGUAACACUAUUGAGAAAGGUUGGGGUUAAAGUGCUAUUUGAGUCUAAAAAAAUUGUUAUGACAAAGAAUAUGUUUAUGGAGAAGAGAUAUUGUGAUCAAGGUCUCAUUUACUUAACAUAUCUAAUAUUGUUAAUGAAUUUGCAUUUGAGUCUUCUGCUUAUAUUGUUGAUUCUUAUGAUGUGUGGCAUGUUAGAUUAUGCCAAGUAAAUUCUUCGUAUGUUAUUAAAUUUUAGCGACUAUGAUUAAUUUACAUGCAUGUCAAACAAAGUAGGAAAUGCAAUAUAUGUGUAGAUUCUAAAAUAACAAAUAAGACAUGCCAUUUUGUAGAACGUCAAACUGAACUUUUAGGUUUAAUUUACGUUGAUCUCUCUAACCUAAAACAAAUCAUCUCUAGAUGUGGUAAAAAUUAUUUUAUAACCUUUAUAGAUGAUUAUUCUAGAUACACCAAAGUGUACUUAUUCAAUUAUAAGGAUAAAGUGUUCGAUAUGUUUUUAACUUACAAAACAUAGUAAAAUAUCAAUUAAAUAGGAAAAGUAAAAGGAUUAUAUCAGAUAGAGAUGGUAAAUAUGUUUUGUUUAAUGAUUAUUGUGUUAAAAAAAUAUUAUUUAUGAACUAACCUCAACAUAUUUACCUGAAUCUAAUGAAGUAGUUGAGAGAAAAAGUAGGAAUAAAAAAAUGAUGAAUGUUAUAAUUAUUAAAUCUAGUGCCCUUGAUAAUAUUUAGAGAGAAACACUUCUUACAACAUGUGUUUAACAAAAUAGGAUACCACAUCAGAAAAUUCGUAAAACACCCUAUGAGUUACGAAAAUGUUACCAACCUAAUCUUAUAUACCUAGAAGUAUGAGAGUGUCUAGUUAUAGUGAUGUUACCUGAUCCUAAUAAAAAGAAAAUAAGUUUUAAAAUUUCUAAUCAUGUGUUUUUAGGCUAAGCGAAAGAUAGUGUUGCCUAUAAGUUCCUUAUUCUUAAAAGUGAUGUAAUUGAUUGUAAUACUAUAAUUGAGACAAAAAAUGUUUGAGUUCUUUGAACAUGUUUUUCCUUUAAAGGUUAAUUUUAUAUCUAAACAACCUAAUCAUUACUAAUGAUAUAAUGUGUGAGGAUUUAAGGAGAAGUAAAAGAAAAAUAAAAGAAACUUUUUUGGAGAUGACUUUGAUACUUACCUUAUUAAAAAUAAUCCAAAGUUAUUUAGAAGAUAUUAGCACUUCUGAUGCAAAGCAUUGGGAUAAGACCAUUAAGACUACAAUUUAUUCAAUUAAAAAAAGUAAUACUUGAACUUUAGUGAUGGAUUGUGUCUUCAUGACUGAAUUGUUUGAUUGAAUUUUGGAGAGGAUUGGCAGAAGCUUCAAUGGAGGAGGCGUGCAAGAGGCUCACAUGGAGCUUGCGGUUUCCUUAGAGGUGCAUGCUAAGUAUGGAGAGUGAUAGGUGAGGCAUAAUCACUUGAGCUAGGUGGAGAGUUGAAGACUAAAGUGUCUAUCCUAAAGAGGCAAGACAAGAGUGAGAAUUGGCUCAAUAUUUUGGAAGCAAUUUCACUCAUUCAUUAAUCUUGAAAAUACAUGGACCAAGCACCUCUUUAUAUAGCACGAGAGGGCUGGAUUUGAACAAGUAGAAAUGGUGGGAAAAUUCAAAUGAAAUGGGUUUGAAUUUGGUGCCUAAAAUGAGCUCACAUGGAAGGUGUGACAUGGUGUGUAAACUAUGCUCAUUUUUAGGUCUAAUGGGCCGACCUAGGUUAAUUAGGAGUUUUCUAGAACCCUAAUUUAACCUAGGUUGGUCUUUAGAUGCCUAAUCCAACCCUAAUUACAAUUAAAGAAAAAUACAAGUAAAAUUCCUAUUCUAUUUUGACAAGAAAAUAAAUUCCACUCUACACUAGAUUUAUGGCAUCUUUGAACAUAUAUUGGGAGGUUUCUCUGUCAUUAGUAGCUGUAUUCUAGUCCUCUUGAAUCUUCUUUGUCAUAGCUCCAGUAGUUGGCCUUGAUCUUUUAUUUGUUGGGCUUGUAAUUAGGCUUGUACUUGGGCUUGUGCUUGGGCCUCUUCCAUCACCCCCUCCCUCUUGAAGAGGAUUUGUCUUCAAAUCCAAUGCUUCUGCCUCUUGAUCUUUACUACCUACAAAAGGGGUUAUGUCCAUAACAUUGAAAGUAGUAUGUACUCCAUAUUCUUCAGGCAGGUCUAUUUGAUAUGCAUUAUCAUUGAUUCUUUUGAGGACUUGGAAAGGACCAUCUACUUGGGGACUAAGUUUGGAUUUCCUCUUAGUAGGGAAUCUAUCCUUCUUAAGGUGAAGUCAAACCCAAUCUCCUUCCUCAAAAAUUAUUUCUCUCUUCACCUUUUUGUUAUGUUUCAAGUAUUUCUCUGUUUGUUGUUGUAUUUGAUCCUUAAUCCUUUCAUGCAUUUUCUUAAAAAAUUCAGCCUUUGUUACUCCUUCCUUAUGCACAAAUUCUUGUGGAUUAGGUAGAGGUAACAAAUCGAAAGGAGUAAGAGGAUUGAUCCAUACACAGCUUCAAAUGGAGAAAUAUUAGUAGUUUUAUGUAUUAUCCUAUUAUAUGCAAAUUAAAUAUGGGGAAGGUACUCUUCCCUAGACUUGUUGUUGCCUCUCAUGAUUGCCCUAAGCAUGGUAGAAAGAGAUAUAUUUACAAAUUCCUUUUGACCAUUCGUUUGAGGAUGACAAGAAAUUGAAAAUUUCAACUUAGUUCCAAGUUUUUCCCAAAGAAUCCUCAAAAAAUGGCCUACAAAUUUUAGGUCUCUAUCCAAAACUAUGCUUUUAGGUAGACCAUGAAUUCUUACCACUUCUCUAAAGAAGAGCCUAGAGAUAUUGUUAAUAUAAUCCACUUUAUGGCAUGAAAUAAAAUUUGCCAUCUUGCUAAACCUAUCCAUAACCAUAAAAAUGGAAUCAAAACCUCUUGUUGUCCUAGGAAGUCCUAAUAUAAAAUCCAUGCUUAUGCCUUCCCAUGGAGCACUUGCAAAAGGAGUAUAGAGUCCACGAGGCAUUGCUUUAGAUUUAUAUUUUAAACAAGAAAUGCAUCUAUAGCAAUGUCUUUGGACUUCUUUUCUCAUGUGUGGCCAAAAGAAUUUUCCUUUUUAAAGCUCUAGAGUUUUAUCAACUCCAAAAUGGCCCAUGAGCCCUCCUUCAUGAGACUCUUUAAGAAGUUUUCUAUGUGUUCCUUUACAAAGCAUGAGGCAUGAAGGUUGUUAAGAAAGAAGUAUCUUUUCAAAAAAAAUUUGAAUUUUUCUUCUUUCUGAAUGACCUUGUGAGAAGGAACACUCUUCUCUCACACCUCUUUUUCCUUAAGGACUUUUCCUUGGUUUUAUACUUUCUUUCUUUUUUCAUCUUCUCCUUUUUUUCAUUUGUACUUGAUCAUGUAUCACUUGUGAAGGUGAUAAGGGAUAGAGUACAAACUUCUUUUCCCUAUGAGUGAAAGUGAUCUCAUUGGUAAGACCAUUGUGCAUAGUUUUCUUAUCAAUUCGCCAUGGUCUACCCAACAAAUGACAAACUUCCAUGGGAACUACAUCACAUAAAACUUUGUCUUUAUAGUUUCCCACAGAAAAUUUGACUUUCACUUGCUUGUCUACAGUUAAUUCCCCAUCUUCAUUUAUCCAUUGAAGUUUGUAAGGUUUAGGAUGAGGUAUUAAUUGUAGAUUUAGCUUCUCAACCACCCUAGUCCUACAACAAUUGCAGCAAGAGCCACUAUCCACAAUGAGAGAACAAACAUUUUCUAAAACUUUACAUCUUGUAUGGAAAAUAUUCUCUCUUUGUGUCUCUCUAUUCCCACAAGAUUAGUUGUUGAGGGUUCUUUGGAUCAUCAUUAACUCCCCCUCUCAUGGAUAUGCUCUCUCAUUAUUUUAUUUUUCUUCCCUUCUAACUCUCCUAGGUUGAAGUUGAUAAUAUUCAUUCAUUUUAAAGCUUUCCUUACCAUAUGAAUCACUCAACCUAGAGCUAGAUGUAUGUGAAGAUUUUUUUUUUUUAGUGUAUUCAUUCUUUUCUUUAACAAGUUUCAACUCUUCUUCUAAGUUAACAAAAUGAGCAUCCCUUUCUUUUAGUUGGGCCUCAUGUCGCAAUUGUCUAUAUGAUAGUGAUUGAAAGUCUCUGACUAAUUAUUUUAAAAGAGAUUUUGUAGACUUUGUAUCAGUUUCAUUUGGACUAGAAGAAUGAGAAGACAUGUUCAAAGUUAUGUGUUAAAAGUAAGUUACCACAAGAAAGAUAGGUGGAGUAAUGUAGGUAGAUUCCCAGGAAAGGGAGGUAGAUCACUUAAGUACCAAGGCUUUCCUAGCCAGAUUCUAUCCUCCAAGACUUUCACAAACCUUUCUCUAAGUAAUUCACUUAGAGCACAAUCAAGAAUGAAAAAACAAUUUUAUGCAAGAAAACAAGAAUGCAAAAACAAUUAAACACAAUUGAAAUACAUUCUAACUAGAAAACUUUAAACUAGUCGAAAUCCUAAUGGUGAGGUUUCUUGGCACUUAGAACCUCAAAGACACACUCACUGUCUAAUUGCGCCAUCAAUCUACUAAUUUUUCAAGGUUUAACAAAAUGCAAAUCAAAGAAAAUACAAUGAAAAUUGAAACAACAAAUUUUUGAAGCACCAAAAAUUUUAAAUCCUAGUAUAUGCACUCCCUCUUUAUGUAUAUUUUGGGUACAAACUUGUUGUUGUCCCCUUGUUAAACCUCUUAAGGAUAUUCAACUGUGAUUAUUCAAAUAUGCACCUCUUUGAGUGAUAAGGAUUCUCACCGAAAAUUGAUAGCUUCAAACUCAACAAGGCACUUUUGAAAUACUUCCACCAAGAAAGAGGUCAACAAAAUUUUAAAGCAACAAAAGUUUCAAUUUAUAAUUGGACUACAACAAAGAGAGUAGAUAUAUGACAAAUCUUGAAAGAGUAUUGAAUGAAAAUGACAAGCAAACAAAUAAGGAACUCAAUUAAAGGUGGCACACAAAUUUAACCUAAAGAAUGGUACUAGAUUUGGAUUAAGAAAACCAAAACAACACUAUUAAAAAUUUGAGGUGUAAAAAAUGUGUGACUUAAACAACUUAUGUUGAGCUGGAUAAUUCAAAUUUGAAUUUUAAAUUUAAACCACAAAAAUUUCAAGAUCUUAACUCAGAUUUGGCACUGGAAUUACACCAAAAUGAUCCACCAAUUAAUUGUGAUAAAUUUUUCAAAUCUACUGCCACUUCACCGGUUUUUUUUUUCGCGCCACAAUUGCACACUGAUUUUAUUUGAUUUAUCAUUUUUUUGUAUUUUGAAUUUUGAUUCACCUUUUUUUUCACUUUUUUUUAUAACACUUCAGACUACUCAAAUCCACAGUUUCAGAAUUUUUCUCCAACGAAAUUAUUUUUCACAAACAUUUUCAGCCAACACAUAUUCAGUGAAACAAAGGAAACCUACACUGGAAUUAAAAACAUAAUUGAAAAACUUCAAAGACACAAUGGAAUUGAUGUAUAGGAACUUGUAUGAAUCUAGCACACAAGCAUGAACUCAAAUAUAAAAAUAAAAAUGCACCAAAAGCUCAAAUACAAAAAUAUAAAACUGCACUCAAAUUAAAACAAGCAACCAAAUCAAGAACAAUUAGUACUACAUGGAAUUGAUGACAAUUGUGGAUGCACAUGACUUGACAAAACAGAAUUGGAUUCAAAAAUCAAAAUGACUCAAAUCAAAACAAUAUGAACGGAUUAAAACAUCAAGAAAAACUCAAAUAAGGCAAAAUUAAAACAGCAACACAAAACUCCAUGGAAUCCUAAUCAAAUUUGUACACAGAUUUCUCAAGCACAAUUAAGCAAGAUGCACUGAUUGAAAUUUUAAAACAACAACACAUGUACUAAAAACGAAAUUAAAAACAACAAGACAUUCAACAACAUGAUGAACCAUACAGAAUUAAGAACAACACAAAAAUUAAAAUAAGAAAAGGCACACUUAGCUCUUGAAGAACCAUGGCUCAUGAUACCAAAUGAUGGAUUGUGUCUUCAUUACCGAAUUGUUUGAUUGAAUUUUGGAGAGGAUUGGCAGAAGCUCCAAUGGAGGAGGCGUGCAAGGAGGCUCACAUGGAGCUUGCGGUUUUCUUGGAGGUGCAUGCUAAGUAUGGAGAGUGAUAGGUGAGGCCUAAUCACUUGAGCUAGGUGGAGAGUUGAAGACUAAAGUGUCUAUCCUAAAUAGGCAAGAAAAUAGUGAGAAUUGGCUAAAUAUUUUGGAAUCAAUUUCACUCAUUCAUUAAUCUUGAAAAUACAUGGACCAAGCACCUCUUUAUAUAGCAUGAGAGGGUUGGAUUCGAACAAGUAGAAAUGGUGGGAAAAUUCAAAUGAAAUGGGUUUGAAUUUGGCCCCUAAAAUGAGCUCACAUGGAAGGUGUGACAUGGGUGUGUAACAUAUGCUCAUUUUUAGGUAUAAUGGGUCGGCCUAGGUUAAUUAGGAGUUUUCUAGAAACCCUAAUUUAACCUAGGUUGGUCUUUAGGUGCCUAAUCCAACCCUAAUUACAAUUAAACAAAAAUACAAGUAAAAUUCCUAUUUAUUUUGACAAGAAAAUAAAUUCUACUCUACACUAGAUUUAUGGAAUCUUUGAACAUAUAUUGGAAGGUUUCUCUGCCAUCAGGAGCUAUAUCCCACUCCUCUUGAAUCUUCUUUGCCAUAACUCUAGUAGUUGGCCCUGAUAUUCUAUUUGUUGGGUUUGUACUUGAGUUUGUGCUUGGGCCUCUUCCAUCAUUUAGUAUAUUUUUCCAAAGGAGAAAAACUCAUUGGUUAUUAGUGGAUCUUGAAAAAAAAAAACUAUCAUCAUGAUGGAUCCAUAUAAAAAUAUAAGACAAUAUUAGUAGCAAAAGAUUUUACUCAAAAACUCAACAUAGAUUACUUUGAUAUAUUUUCCCAAAUUACUAGGAUUUCUUCUAUUCGAGUGUUGUUAGGUAUAACAUCUAUUCAUAAGUUAGUUAUUCACCAAAUGGAUGUUAAGACAACAUUUUUUAAUGGUUAACUAGAGGAAGAAAUUUAUAUGACUCAACCUGAAGGGUGUGUUGUUCCUGGUUAAGAAAACAAAGUACGUAGACUUUUAAAAAAUUUAUAUGGGCUAACAUGCACAAAAAUAAUGCAAUGGGAAAUUUGUUGUUGUUUUACUCAAUGAUGUUUUUUCUACUACCUAUGCUAAUAAACGUGUGUACACUACAUCUGAAGAAGGUGAAUGUAUCAUUAUAUGUUUUUAUAUUAAUGACAUUAUUUUUUGGUACAUGUAAUGAUAUAGUUUAUAUAACAAAAUUAUUUAUGGGAUUUAGGUCUGAAAUGAAAGACAUGAGUGAAACAAAAGUAAUUUUAUGAGUUAAAGUCAUAAGGAGGAAAGAUAGUAUAUUACUAUCAUACGAACAAUAUACUGAGAAACUUUUUAGGAAGUUUGACUAUUAUGACUUUAAACAAGUACGUGAUACUAACUUUAAAUAAAAGAAAAAUAAAAGAGAAUAUAUUUCUCAACCUUAAUAUGCCAUAUAAUUGGGCGCUUAUAGCAUUUAAUUAGCUUUUCUAAAUUAGAUAUUGCUUGUAUAAUAGGUAGACUGAGUAUGUACACUCAAUGCCCUAAUCAGGAUCAUUGGGAUGUACUUGCAAGAUUCAUGAAAUACUCAAGUGGUACAAUAAUUUGUAUAAUUAAUUGUAGUGGAUUUCUUAUUAUACUAGAAGAUAUCAGAGUUAAUUGGAUCACUUAUUCAUAUGAGACAAAAUUCACUAGUGGUUAUGUGUUUACACUUGGGGGUGAUGUGAUUACAUGGAGAUCAUCCAAGCAAAAAAUUACUAUAAGAUCAACAAUAGAGUGAGAGUUUGGUUCUCUUGAAAUGACUGGAAAUGAAGUUGAGUAGUUGAAAAAGUUCUUAGUAAACAUUCCAUUAGGAAUGAAACCUAGCAAUUUAUAUCAAUGCAUUGCGAUUGUCAACCGGUAAUUGCUAUAGUUAAAAACAAAACUUACAAUGGAAAUAAAAACAUAUAUAAUUGAGACAUAAUUUGAUAAAGCAUAUGCUAAAUAGUGAAACAGUUUCUGUUGAUUAUGUUAAGUCAGAACAAAAUCUAGCAGAUCAUUUGACAAAACCCCAAGGAAGAAAUAUGAUUUUAGAACACAUCAAGGGAAAUAAUGAUACUCGAUCCAAUUGUAAACAAACAAGAGAUGGAAACCCAAAAUUUGUUAUUAGAGAUCCUAUGAAUAAGGUUUAUAUGGGUAAAAACAAGUCAUUGCCCGUUUUGCUAAUGCUAAAAUUGAUUUAAUCAAUUUUGUUCAUUCUUAUACUAUGUUAGAGUGCUAGACAUUGCAUCAUUGAGAGGAUGAAAUUUGAUCGUUAUCAUUAUUUUCUCACUAUAUGAUCAUACAAGGCAACUUUUGUAUAAUUUCAUCACUUACGCUAAAAACUAAAUAAAAAAAAAAGGCAUUGAAACUAUUAUAACUAGAAAUGGAAAAGAAUUUGAAUACAAAGAAUUUUAUGAGAAAUUAAGAAUUAUAAAUCAAGUUUCAUGGUUGAAAGCCCACGAGAAAAAAAAAUUGUGGUUGAAUGAAAUCAUUCAUGAACAAAUUUUCACUUAUACACACAAACAUUGAUAAUUGUAAUAAUGAUGUUCAAUAAGAUACUUUUAGUAUUUUGUUUGAUAUCCCUCACAAAUAUAACAAUGAAUGUGAACAAUACACUGAAAGAAGUUGAGAAUGAAGUUUUACAAAGAUCCAACACAACUCGUAAGGUGCCGAGCUUUUUGAAAGAAUAUCACCAACAAGCCUUAAAUUCUAUUAAGAUUAAUUAAAUUGUACAACACUGCAAUGAAUUAUACAAGGUAUGUUUUCCUAUCAACAAUGUUAUUUCUUACAUGAUUGUUUCACCGAAAGAUUUAAAAUAUAUAUUUUUUAUUUUAUCACAUUCUAUACCUCAAACAUAUGAGGAAGCAUCACAAUGCAUUGUAUGGCAUAUGGCUAUGAAGGAUGAAAUCAAAGCGCUUGAAGAUAACAAAACGUGGUAUCACUGAUCUACCAUUACACAAAGUACUCAUUAGUUGCAAAUGGGUUUACGAAAUCAAAUAUAAAGAAAAUGUGAUAUUGAACGAUAUAAAACACAACUUGUGUAUAAAAGAUAUAAUCAAAUUGUUACAUUGAUACAUAUUCUCUAUUUGUCAAGCUUACUAUUGUACGUUUCUUACUCACUCUUGUAGCUAUAAAAAAAUUGGCACCUUGAAUAAUUAUACGUGAACAAUGUUUUUCUACCUAGAGAAUUAAAGAAAGAAUCUAUAUAUGCUUGUGCCACCUAGGAAUUGAAACCAAAAAUCCAAUCAGGUUUUUUGGUUAAAAGAAAUUCGUAUAUGGUCUUAAAUAAGCUAGUGGGCAGUGGUUUGCAAGCUCACAUUGUUUUUGAAAAUUAAGAAAUUCAAUCAAUCUUCCUUUGACCACUCUAUGUUUAUUAAGAAAAUUUAUCAUUUAUUCCUUGUGUUACUCGUAUAGUAGAUGAUAUCAUUCUUUCAAGAAUUAGUUUAGAAGAAAUAAAUAAAAUCAAAAGAUCUUUAAAUGAUUGUUUUAAAAUUAAGGAUGUAGGAUAAUUGAAUUGUUUCUAGGAUUUGAAAUUACUUUAUCAAAAGAAGGGAUACAUCUUUGUCAAAGAAAAUAUGCACUUGAUAUUCCCAUAUUGAAAUCUUCAAAGCAUUCGUUUUAACAAGACACAUGUAUCCAUGAACUAGAAACAUGAUAAAGGCUUAUUAGAUGUCUUCUCUACUUGUCCAUAACUAGACUUGAUAUAUGUUGUAUUGUUCAUCACUUGAGUCAGUUCAUGCAAUCACCCUUUGUUCAGCACCACCAAGUGGGAACAUCAUUUUUGAGGUACAUAAAAGUUGCUCCAUCACAAGGAAUAUUCUUUUCUUCCAGUUCUACACUACAAUUACAAUGUUUCAGUGAUUUUGAUUGGGUUGUAUGUCCAAACAUGCGAUGUUCGAUCACUGGUUUUCAUAUUUCUCUUAGGCACUAUUUUAUAUCAUGGAGGUCGAAGAAAAAAGCAUUAUGUCAUACUCUUCUUUUGAAGUUGAAUAUCAUGCCCUUGCUACCAUUGUUUUGUGAGAUACAAUGGUUCUCUUUUACAUGAUGUUCAAAUCACUACUGCAAUUACCAAUCGUUACUGUGAUAAUAAAGUUGCAAGACACAUUAUAUUAAAUCAGAACUUCCACGAAUGAAUAGAGCACAUCGAAAUUGAUUGUCAUUCUAUUAAAGAAAAACUACCUAACAACCUAUUUUAUCUUCUUUUCAUAAAAAACCAAUGAGGACCCAAAAAAUAUUUUUACUAAAGUUCUUGAUAAUGACACUUUCAACAGGUAUAUAUGCAAGCUUGGGAUGACCAAUAUGUCUUUUCCAACUUGAGGAAAGAGUUUUG
rnacentral:lncRNA from 1 species